rnacentral:lncRNA from 1 species
ACAUAUUGCAUAUCCGUCAGUGUGCAAACUGUAUCAAAGAUUAGCUUAGGACGGUCUGGACACCUCACGUUUACCACAGUAUAGCCUUUAUCUGCACAACCUUCUACAGUUACAAGAGGUUUCAUGCUGUCACUCGUAGAGCCAAAGUCUGUAUCAUUUGUAUCAUAAUCACGAUCAGCAUACAUCAGUUGGUGUAGCCUCCUUUCAGUAUGAGUUGAACCCACAGAGACAGCGGUGUUUGCUCCCCGCUUAUCUCUAUUCCCUUUCAGGACAUAAAGGAGAAGUUGUUUGAUGUCAGCAAGUCGACUUGAGUCCUCUAUAGGCAAUCUAUCUGCUUCAUCUGUGAUGUAAAGGACCGAUGCCACUCUUGAAUUGUGAGUCCACACUUCUGCAGACUCCACAUUACAUUUAAGAUCAGAAAGAACCGCAAACACCUCUGAAAGCAAUCCUGGACGGUCUCUUCCAGUCAAUUCAAUGGUUGUGCGCCCUGUGCCAGCCUGGACACCCACAGCUCUUGUCAAAGAGCGAAAGCUGCGUCCCCUUGGUCCCAAUGACUGUAACACGUACUUCAGUAAAAAACUAAAAUUUGAACUCUGAAACAAAUUUUCUAACAGAAAGUAACAGUGUUACAAUUCUCUAAUAUUUUCAUAGCACAAAAAGCAAAAAAACACAACUUUGUCUUCUAUAAUAGAUUCAUUGGGACUUCCUAUCAAACAUUAUUCUGGAUUCUCUCAAACAAGACCGAGAAACUAAUGAAACGAUAAAUACUUAAAACCAACCUUAUAGCCGCCAUGUAAAACAAAAGAAAAAAAUUCAGUUCACACAUCAAACUAUUUAGUUCACACAUCAAUAUCAAUCUGGUAACUGAUUAAAAACGUUUGUUCAUUACUUGUCUAAUACCCCGCAAAUUAGAAAUCACUGUACUAUUGAAAAGAACUUGCCUACAACACGUAAAAUCAAAAUUACAGUUAGAAACAGUGAAAGAUUCUACCAGAGGUAACUGUCAAGGUAUAUCAUAACAAAAACCACAUAAUCAACAAUUUAUCCUUGCUAAACAAGUUCAGUUCAUGACAGAAAGCUUUACCUGCUGAAUUCGCUCCGCGACAUUAUCAUCGGAGAGCUUGUUCCCAUACUGAUCAGUGACAUGAAAAACUGCAUCAAAACCAACACAAAAAUCAAAUCUUGUUCUGCAAACAAGCCAACAACAUAGGAAAAAAAAAUCACAAAUUUUAUACCAUCCAUGAACCACUCUCCAUCAGAAGAAAUGUAAGCUCUCUUAAUAAUAAGAUUCAUAUCAGUGAGAAUCUGAACCACCUCCAACAAGCUGCCUCUUUUAUUAGCACUGUCAACCUGAAAUUACCAAAAUCAACAAAAAAUCACUCAAAAUCAAGAAAAUUACUUAAAACUCCCAAGAAAUGGGAAUAAAGCAGAACAAAAAGUAGUACUAGUACAAGUACCUUAAUCAAAGUAGCUUUUCUAUCAGAAGCAUUAUCUCCAGUAACCCUUCAACCAAAAAAGAUUAUAACUACAAUUAGUACUAAUAACUCUAACUAUAUUAAUCAUUUCACACCAAGAAAAAAUUUUAAAAAAAUAUAUUACCUGGGGGGGUUCAUGCGAAGCACAAGCUUCUCAAACUCAUCAUCAGCGUUGAGUGAAGUUGACCAGUUAUCCAUUGUUGAGUUUUACAGAAGGAGAAAAAUAAAACAAGAAACUGAGAGAGAAAAUAAGAGAACAAGAGAGAUUAUAUAUUUUUCUUUUUGUGAUACUAAUAUUCUCUGGUAAAAUUAAUCUCUUACAGCUAUCUUUGUCAUCACACUGGGAAUCUAGCUGGAUUUUCCUUUUCUGAAUUUUUCUAAUUUAUUCUUUUAAGGAGAGUGGCAUACUAGUACUAGUAUUUUAUGUUCUUCAGUGAUAAAAGGCAGAGGGGUCCAUCAGGCUUUAUUACUAAUAUUUUUUUCCCGAAUUGUUGGUAUUUCAAUUAAGUACUCAGAUUUUUCUUUCUUCUUUGGGUUGCCCCGUGAGCCUCAUGAUGAGAUUUACUUUUUAGUGUUUAAUAUUGUAAAUUCUAUUAUUAUGUACUUCCGAAAAAAUGUGUAUAUAUUAUUCGGGCACACAAAAACUCCUAACGAUAUCGUUUACUUGUCGGUAUAAAAAUUAUUAGUAUAAUAACUAGAGGGCGACCGGUCCUUAAAAUAGAAUCAUAGAACCACUAAGGUUCUGCUGCGGAAACCUUAAUUUUAAAUGGAUUUUAAGAUCUAAAUCUAAAUACAUGUUUUUUUCAAAAAAAAAUUAUCGUUGUGUGUGUUCAAAAUAAUUUUAAAAUCCAAUACAUAUUGACAUUUUUUGCAUGUGAAGUUCUGCUGCAGAACUCUACCUCAUACUUAAGUUCUGCUGCAGAAUCCUAACUCAUACUUAAAUUCUGCUGCCGAACCCUGCCUUAUAAGGUAAGGGUAUGGUUCCCUCUCUUGAACAUCACCCUAAGAGCAUCUCCAACCAUACAAAGCCUUUGGCUAAAAAAUGAGUUGGCAUUCCAAAAUUAGCACUCCAACCACACUAAUCUGUUGUCUAUAAUUUUAGCCAGUCUCCUGGCUAUAUUUAUCGAACCUCUACAGGUCUGUAAGAAAUCUGUAGGAAGAUUACACAUCAUUUAUUACCAUAUUAAACUGAUAUAUUUUAUUUUAACAGUUUAAAAUAUUAAUAACAUACUAUUUUUAAAUUAUAGCCAACCAGUAUAGCCAAUACCAUUGAAGCAAAAUGUCUUACAGGUUCAACAAAUUUUACAUAAUGUCUUACAGGUCCAAUUUAGCCAACGAAUAUAGCCAACACCGUUGGAGAUGCUCUAAUAAUAGAUUAUAUAGAUUAUCUUUUAAAAUCAUCAUCUACGUAAUUAUAAAAUCAAAUUUCAAACAUAAAAACAGGUCAGUAAAAAAAUUAACAUUUUUAACUUAUUAUAUUAUGACUUAUAAAUCGGAAGUUGGCUUAUAAAUUAAUAAUACAAAUAAUAUGAAUAAGUUGUUCGACUUAUAAGCCCAGAAACUGGGCUUCUGAGCCCGGCCAAAUACGCGUUAUAUUCAAUAAGAAGUAGANACAUUAUGUAAAAACACAAGUAUUUGCUUAUGAUUUUUUACAGGCCUGAUUCACUUGCGAAUCUACAACAGCGCUAUCUCUGAUUAUCGAAAGACAUUUAGUAAAUUUACAUUCAGCUAUAACAGAAAGCACUUCUGACUAAAAGCUUCCAGGAUUUAUUGUCUCUAGAAUGACUAAUGCCUGAAACGAGAAGCUUAUAUUUGCCCCAUAUCCUAAUCAGGAACAUGAUUUUAUCAAGCCCAAGUUAUACAGAAACUUCUCUGAACUUGAUCUGAAAAUGUUACCUAAAGAGAACCUACUUGUCGGUUCAGCUGUUGAACUAGAGUGAGUGUCGUUCCUCACAUGAAGUAUUGACCUUCCUAUUUCAUUUCUCACCGCCUCAACAGUCUCGGGUUUCACUGGAAUCCCCGAUGGAUCAGUUACAUGGAAGACAUUUACUGCUCGAGACCCUUUGGUUGUUACUUCAGCCCGGGCGACUGACAGGCCAUUCUCCCUGAAUAUACGAGUUACAUCUGAUAGAAGACCCGCCCUAUCUUCACAACAAAGUUCUAAACUUAUACCCUGCAAGUAUAAACAUAAUAGAACUUCAUAAAUACGCAACCUGCAGAUAAACCAAAGGCUACAUGGUGAAUUACUAGUCUCAACUUUAUACCUCAGAAGUUCGCCUCUUGAUAGCAGCUUCCAAGCAAUGAAUUACUCUCUGCCUCUCUGCUUCAGAAUUGAUGGGGCACCCGUCAAUAUGCCUGAUGUAGUAUUCCUGUAUUCAAUGAUUGGAAAACUAUAUAAAGAAUAGAUUCGAUCAUGACCACCACAUCUCAUCUGGAAGCAAAUCUUAAUUGCAUUUCCGAUUCUAAAAAGAUAACCGAGGAGACUAAUGCUAAAAGGGCAUUUGAAAUUAUUAUUAUUUUCCAGCUACAGCCUAAGGUGAGAGGAUUAUGUUUCAUUCAUAGAUCUUAACACUGGAUAAUUUUCAACAGAAUGAAUUUUGAUUUAUAGAAAAAGGUUUUCAUCUCAAUCAAAUGACAUGAAAAAUUGUAAUUAUAAAUUCACGGGCAUUGAGGAUAACCUGUGAAGCCUCCGGACCCUCUGCAACUAUGGUGCCAUGGAAUACAACAUAUUGCAUAUCCGUCAGUGUGCAAACUGUAUCAAAGAUUAGCUUAGGACGGUCUGGACACCUCACGUUUACCACAGUAUAGCCUUUAUCUGCACAACCUUCUACAGUUACAAGAGGUUUCAUGCUGUCACUCGUAGAGCCAAAGUCUGUAUCAUUUGUAUCAUAAUCACGAUCAGCAUACAUCAGUUGGUGUAGCCUCCUUUCAGUAUGAGUUGAACCCACAGAGACAGCGGUGUU